CAGUCGCCGCGGUAAUACCGAGGGUGCGAGCGUUAAUCGGAUUUACUGGGCGUAAAGCGUGCGUAGGCGGCUUUUUAAGUCGGAUGUGAAAUCCCUGAGCUUAACUUAGGAAUUGCAUUCGAUACUGGGAAGCUAGAGUAUGGGAGAGGAUGGUAGAAUUCCAGGUGUAGCGGUGAAAUGCGUAGAGAUCUGGAGGAAUACCGAUGGCGAAGGCAGCCAUCUGGCCUAAUACUGACGCUGAGGUACGAAAGCAUGGGGAGCAAACAGGAUUAGAUACCCCCGUAGUCCCUGUCUCUUAUAC
rnacentral:rRNA from 1 species